rnacentral:rRNA from 1 species
GACGAACGCUGGCGGCGUGCUUAACACAUGCAAGUCGAACGGAAAGGCCCUGCUUGCCGGGUACUCGAGUGGCGAACGGGUGAGUAACACGUGGGUGUUCUGCCCUGCACUUCGGGGUAAGCCUGGAAAACUGGGUCUAAUACCGGAUAGGAGCCCUCUUGCGUGUGGUGGUGGGAAAGUUUUUUUCGGUGUAGGAUGAGCUCGCGGCCUAUCAGCUUGUUGGUGGGGUAAUGGCCUACCAAGGCGGCGGCGGGUAGCCGGCCUGGGAGGGUGGACGGCCACCUUGGGACCUAGGGACGGCCCCGACCCCUACCGGGGGCAGGAGUGGGGAAGAUUGCACAAUGGGCGCGAGCCUGGUGCAGCGACGCCGCGGGGCGGAUGACGGCCUUCGGGUUGUAAAAUCCUUUCGCUAUGGACGAAGCUGUUUGUGACGGUACCUAGAGAAGAAGCACCGGCUAACUACGUG